rnacentral:rRNA from 1 species
AAUCUUCCACAAUGGACGGAAGUCUGAUGGAGCAAUGCCGCGUGAGCGAAGAAGCUUUUCGGAUCGUAAAGCUCUGUUGCGAGGGAAGAACACGUCCGGCAGUCACUGCCCGUACCUUACCGGUACCUCACUACACAGCCACGGUUACCUACGUGCCGACAGCCGCGGUAAUACGGAGGUGGCAAGCGCUGCCCGGAAUUAUUGGGCGUAAAGCGCGCGCAGGCGGUCUUUUAAGUCUGAUGUGAAAGCCCACGGCUCAACCGUGGAAGGUCAUUGGAAACUGAAGGACUUGAGUACAGAAGAGGAAAGCGGAAUUCCACGUGUAGCGGUGAAAUGCGUAGAGAUGUGGAGGAACACCAGUGGCGGAGGCGGCUUUCUGGUCUGUAACUGACGCUGAGGCGCGAAAGCGUGGGGAGCAAACA